CCUACGGGAGGCAGCAGUGAGGAAUAUUGGUCAAUGGACGAGAGUCUGAACCAGCCAAGUAGCGUGAAGGAUGACUGCCCUAUGGGUUGUAAACUUCUUUUAUAUGGGAAUAAAAUGUUCCACGUGUGGGAUUUUGUAUGUACCAUAUGAAUAAGGAUCGGCUAACUCCGUGCCAGCAGCCGCGGUAAUACGGAGGGUCCGAGCGUUAUCCGGAUUUAUUGGGUUUAAAGGGAGCGUAGGUGGAUUGUUAAGUCAGUUGUGAAAGUUUGCGGCUCAACCGUAAAAGUGCAGUUGAAACUGGCAGUCUUGAGUACAGUAGAGGUAGGCGGAAUUCGUGGUGUAGCGGUGAAAUGCUUAGAUAUCACGAAGAACUCCGAUUGCGAAGGCAGUUCACUGGACUGCAACUGACACUGAGGCUCGAAAGUGUGGGUAUCAAACAGGAUUAGAUACCCCUGUAGUC
rnacentral:rRNA from 1 species